rnacentral:rRNA from 1 species
UACGUAGGGUGCAAGCGUUGUCCGUAAUUAUUGGGCGUAAAGAGCUCGUAGGCGGUUCGUCGCGUCGGCUGUGAAAACCUGAGGCUCAACCUCAGGCCUGCAGUCGAUACGGGCGGACUUGAGUACUGCAGGGGAGACUGGAAUUCCUGGUGUAGCGGUGAAAUGCGCAGAUAUCAGGAGGAACACCGGUGGCGAAGGCGGGUCUCUGGACAUUUCCUGACGCUGAGGCACGAAAGCCAGGGGAGCAAACGGG